rnacentral:rRNA from 1 species
UACGAAGGGGGCUAGCGUUGUUCGGAAUUACUGGGCGUAAAGGGCGCGUAGGCGGCGCAUCAAGUCAGGCGUGAAAGCCCCGGGCUCAACCUGGGAACCGCGCUUGAGACUGGUGGGCUCGAGUUCGGGAGAGGAUGGUGGAAUUCCCAGUGUAGAGGUGAAAUUCGUAGAUAUUGGGAAGAACACCGAUGGCGAAGGCAGCCAUCUGGACCGACACUGACGCUGAGGCGCGAAAGCGUGGGGAGCAAACAGG